AGAUUGAACGCUGGCGGCAUGCCUUACACAUGCAAGUCGAACGGCAGCACGGGAGCAAUCCUGGUGGCGAGUGGCGAACGGGUGAGUAAUAUAUCGGAACGUGCCCAGUCGUGGGGGAUAACGCAGCGAAAGCUGUGCUAAUACCGCAUACGAUCUAUGGAUGAAAGCGGGGGAUCGCAAGACCUCGCGCGAUUGGAGCGGCCGAUAUCAGAUUAGCUAGUUGGUGGGGUAAAAGCCUACCAAGGCGACGAUCUGUAGCUGGUCUGAGAGGACGACCAGCCACACUGGAACUGAGACACGGUCCAGACUCCGUACGGGAGCAGCAGUGGGGAAUUUGGGACAAGUGGGCGCAAGCCUGAUCCAGCAA
rnacentral:rRNA from 1 species